GACGAACGCUGGCGGCGUGCCUAAUACAUGCAAGUCGAACGCUGAAGGAGGAGCUUGCUUCUCUGGAUGAGUUGCGAACGGGUGAGUAACGCGUAGGUAACCUGCCUGGUAGCGGGGGAUAACUAUUGGAAACGAUAGCUAAUACCGCAUAAUAGUAGAUGUUGCAUGACAUUUGCUUAAAAGGUGCAAUUGCAUCACUACCAGAUGGACCUGCGUUGUAUUAGCUAGUUGGUGAGGUAACGGCUCACCAAGGCGACGAUACAUAGCCGACCGGAGAGGGUGGUCGGCCACACUGGGACUGUGACACGGCCCAGAGUCCUACGGGAGGCAGCAGUAGGGAUUCUUCGGCAAUGGGCGGAAGUCUGACCGAGCAACGCCGCGUGAGUGAAGAAGGUUUUCGGAUCGUAAAGCUCUGUUGUAAGAGAAGAACGAGUGUGAGCGUGGAAAGUUCACACUGUGACGGUAACGUACCAGAAAGGGACGGCUAACUACGUG
rnacentral:rRNA from 1 species